CCUACGGGUGGCAGCAGUGGGGAAUAUUGGGCAAUGGGCGCAAGCCUGACCCAGCAACGCCGCGUGAAGGAAGAAGGCUUUCGGGUUGUAAACUUCUUUUCUCAGGGACGAAGAAAGUGACGGUACCUGAGGAAUAAGCCACGGCUAACUACGUGCCAGCAGCCGCGGUAAUACGUAGGUGGCAAGCGUUAUCCGGAUUUAUUGGGUGUAAAGGGCGUGUAGGCGGGACUGUAAGUCAGAUGUGAAAACUCAGGGCUCAACCCGUUGCCUGCAUUUGAAACUGUUGUUCUUGAGUACUGGAGAGGCAGUCGGAAUUCCUUGUGUAGCGGUGAAAUGCGUAGAUAUAAGGAGGAACACCAGUGGCGAAGGCGGACUGCUGGACAGCAACUGACGCUGAGGCGCGAAAGCGUGGGGAGCAAACAGGAUUAGAUACCCUGGUAGUC
rnacentral:rRNA from 1 species